AUGGCAAAGCACACUACCCUCCUCCUUGUGGCAAUAGUAGCAAUCCUUCUCACUGCCACCGCCGCCACCCUAGCCAACACCCCCGCCCCUGCAGCCAAGCCUACAGCGUAUGAAAUGCUAGGGCGAUAUGGCUUCCCACCGGGCAUCCUCCCGCAGGGAGUGCAUGACUACGAGCUCCGACCAGACGGUUCCUUUGAGGUACACUUCUCCGAUGAAUGCAAACUUUGUAUUGACGGCCAGUACGACAUCCACUACAGCACUCGGGUUGCCGGGAACAUAAAAAAUGACAUGAUCAGCGGCCUUGAAGGCAUACAGGAUGUCGGCCGCGAUGGCAAUGAGCUUAGGCUGCACACCGGGAUCAUAUCCAAGUCAUUCUCGGUUGACGUUUUCUCCUCUAGCCCUAAGUGUAACUGA
rnacentral:rRNA from 1 species